rnacentral:rRNA from 1 species
GACCGAACCGACUAAUGUUGAAAAAUUAGCGGAUGACUUGUGGCUGGGGGUGAAAGGCCAAUCAAACCGGGAGAUAGCUGGUUCUCCCCGAAAGCUAUUUAGGUAGCGCCUCGUGAAUUCAUCUCCGGGGGUAGAGCACUGUUUCGGCAAGGGGGUCAUCCCGACUUACCAACCCGAUGCAAACUGCGAAUACCGGAGAAUGUUAUCACGGGAGACACACGGCGGGUGCUAACGUCCGUCGUGAAGAGGGAAACAACCCAGACCGCCAGCUAAGGUCCCAAAGUCAUGGUUAAGUGGGAAACGAUGUGGGAAGGCCCAGACAGCCAGGAUGUUGGCUUAGAAGCAGCCAUCAUUUAAAGAAAGCGUAAUAGCUCACUGGUCGAGUCGGCCUGCGCGGAAGAUGUAACGGGGCUAAACCAUGCACCGAAGCUGCGGCAGCGACGCUUAUGCGUUGUUGGGUAGGGGAGCGUUCUGUAAGCCUGCGA